rnacentral:rRNA from 1 species
AUUGAACGCUAGCGGGAUGCUUUACACAUGCAAGUCGAACGGCAGCGCGUAUGUCGGUCUGGCGGCGAGUGGCGAACUGGUGAGUAAUGUAUCGGUACGUGCCCAGUAGUGGGUGAUAACUUCGCUAAAGCGUAGCUAAUACCGCAUACGCCCUACUGUGGUAAGCAGGGGAUCGUAAGACCUUGCAUGAGUUUGUUUGCGGAUAUCGGAUUAUGUAGUUGGUGAGGUAACGGCUCACCAAGGCGACGAUCCGUAGCUGGUUUGAGAGGACGACCAGCCACACUGGGACUGAGACACGGCCCAGACUCCUACGGGAGCACGCAGUGGGCACAUUUGGACAAUGGGGGCAACCCUGAUCCAGCCAUCCCGCGUGUGAGAUGAAGGAAUUCGGGUUGUAAAGCACUUUUGGCAGGAAAGACAAAAAACGGGCUAAUACCCCGUGGAACUGACGGUACCUGCAGAAUAAGCACCGGCUAACUACGUG